CUGUACCAAGGGCAAUCCCGGGUGAAAGCCUGGGUGCGCAAAGCCGUGGGGCCUGAAGUGCGGCCGGCCGUGGUUGCCGUG
rnacentral:ncRNA from 1 species